UACGAAAGGUGCAAGCGUUACUCGGAAUCACUGGGCGUAAAGCGCACGUAGGCGGACUCGCAGGUCAAUUGUGAAAUACCUGGGCUCAACCCGGGAACUGCAGUUGAAACCGCUUGUCUUGAAUACCUGGAGAGGGUGGGGGAAUACCUGGUGGAGAAGUGAAAUUCGUAGAGAUCAGGUGGAACACCGGAGGCGAAGGCGCCUGCCUGGCAGUGUAUUGACGCUGAGGUGCGAAAGUGCGGGGAGCAAAC
rnacentral:rRNA from 1 species